UAUCCUCUUAUCCAGGGUUGUCCAUCAAUUCAUCCAUUAUCCUCUUAUCCAGGGUUGUCCAUCCAUCCAUCCAUUAUCCUCUUAUCCAGGGUUGUCCAUCCAUCCAUCCAUCCAUCCAUCCAUCCAUUAUCCUCUUAUACAGGGUUGUCCAUCCAUCCAUCCAUUAUCCUCAUACAGGGUUGGGUUGCGAGGUCAGCAGCCUACAUAGAGAGACCCAUACUUCCCUCUCUCCAGCCACUUGAGUCUGCAUCCAGGGGAAUAAUUCCUGGUCCUCGAGGGCUAGUAUCCAUCACAUUUUAGUGGUUUCUCUGCACCAACACACCUGAUUCAGUGGUUAAGGUGUGUUGAAACAGAGUUAAAACUAAAACAUGCUGGAUACCGCCGGCCCUGAAUUGAAUACCAUAGGGCAUUCUCUGGCCAGCUCAGAAACAUAGUCCCUCCAAUGUUACCUGGGUCUUCCUUUGGGUCUUCUCCCAUUUAGACAUGCCCAGAAAACCACACCAGGGAAGUGUCCAGGAGGCAUUCUAACUAAGUGCUCAAGCCACCUCAACUUGCUCCUCUUGCUGUGGAACAGCAGCACAUCUAUUUUGAGCCCCUCCUGGAUGACUGAGCUUCUCACCCUAUCUCUAAGGGGGAGCCCGGAAACCCUGCAGAGAAAAACUAAUUUUGGAUCGCCAAGGUCCUCGCCUUUGGCUACCACCCAACACAAAAUGCACCCAACCCCUUUAGCCACUCCCACAAGUGGUGAGCCCAUGGGAAGGGGGACCAACAUUUCCUGUUUAGGCCAUGCCUGGCUGCCUCUCACCAAUGUAGGGUUUGGUAAAUUGAGUGCUUUAAGAGCUCAAUAUAUAUAGUACCUCUACUUAUGACCAAUAAGCUGUGAUACUCUAUCUAAAUAUAGAAUAUCAACCCUUCUUGGUCUUUACGGUGUUUAAUCAGAAGAAUCUAGGGUUCUUUAUUUAUUAGGGGAUUGUGCUCACUUCGUUUUGAUUCCGAAAAGAGUCAGGUUUAUAAAAGUAAGAAUUUAUUUUACCAACAAUUAAAACAUGACAAGUUAACUAACAUUUACUGUGAUGGAUGGAACUAGAUGUGAUGUAUGAACCUAUGUGUGAAUGCAAUGUUAGUCAGAACUUCCGUAUCUAGGAGAGCUGAGUUCUGGAUGUAAAAGAAUUUGGUUUACGUUAAGCUAUGAAGUUGAUUAUUAUCAAAAGCACAUCAGACGCUAUCUGUAUGUCUACUUCACCCAUUCUGGAGACCCUCUUAGUGGAUUUGAAGGUCAGAGAGGUCGGAUGACCUCUGGCACCGAAGGUCCAGUAGAUUGACCACAGCACCGACUUCUCCAGUCCAGAGAUGUCUCGGGUCAUGACAGAUGGAUGGAACCGCGCGUCUGGGACUCUGAAGGAGUCUAAACAAUAUCAGCUUGUUCUGCAGGAACUGUUGCUGUAUCAGCUUCGCAGGUGCAAAAAGGUUUUGACGACGUGUCAAAAGCUUUGAUGGUUAAAGAGGGUUUUGCUCCAGAUGGCCGGUCUGAAGCUUUCUCUAGAACUGAGGAAUCAGUAGAGUAAUCUGGUUUUAAUGUUCUCAUGUUAUGACUUGUGUAGCCAACCAGAGGUUGACAAGUUUGAGGAAUAUUACCAAGAAUCUCAGAAACACGCCUUCUUUGAUACCGGAGGCUCUGAUCUGGGGUAAAGGACUAUCUAUGCGUCAUGAAUUUAACUUAACCUUACUUUGUCCUUGUGAGUGCAAGUGGUGAUGACCGUGUCAUAUAAACAUGCUGAACAUAUUUCAAUCACUGUAAUCAUAACAUAACAUUCAUUUCAAACUUCAAUCAUUGAGCACAGAUGAAUGAAACAUUUCAUUAUAUUAUAAUUAUUAUAAGUAGCAAUAAACAAACGUUUAUUUAAUGAUUAUCUAGCUCAUAAGUUGUAGAAGUUCAUAUCUGAUUUAGGAAAUCAUGGCUGCGAGUUUUCCUUAUAUGGAAGCAUGAAGAAUCCUGAAAGACUGGACCUUGAGGAGAGAACAUUAUUGUUGACAUUUCGUUAUCUGUGUUCAGAGCUGCAGGCUCUGAGCUCCAGCUGGUGGGAUGGAGGCAGGCUGAUUUAAAGGGGACAAAUGCAGUCUUGUGUCUCCUUUUUGACCAGAUGUUGAAUGUCAAACUGUACCUAAAAACUGACCAUUGCUGGAUGUUACACCAACAUGCCCCAAUUCCAGGACUGUCUCCAGAGGGUGCCUUGGGGACUAGCGUCUGGGCGAGGGAUCACUAUUUCCAUUUGAGGUCAGAAUCAUAAGGAGUCUGUGAGCUAUGCUUUUUCUGAUCCCUCAUCUGGGACCUGUUGGCCAUGGGUGACCCUACCAGAGGCAUAAAGCCUGAGCCAACUUAGUUAUUAGAAUCAUGGGGACACUGAAAAUCCUCCACCACAGUAAAGUGGCAGCCCAGGGAGGGGUUUCAAUUUUGUUCUUAUUUACAUUUUAUUUUGCCAUUAGCGUCCCCUAUGACCAAGCCACUACUGCAAUCUGCACUGCAGAUUUUUUAUGGUUAUAUGUCAUGAAACUGCCAAUAUUUUUAAUAACUGGGCAUCUUUUAAUUCCUUUACAACAACAUUUAGAUGGAUAUUUCUAGAGAUUUAUGGUUAAAACUACACAUUGUCACUUUAAAAGUUCCUAGAUCUAAAUACAAACGCUGAGGGAAUCGGGCUUUUACAGUUUGUGCUCCUACACUACGGAACAGUCUUCCAGUCUUGGAUCUGACUACUUUUAAGUCACUUUUAAAAACAUUACUUCUACUCCCUGGCUUUUAGAGUAUGACACUUUCCCAUAUAUUUUCAUGCUAUUUAUCUGGUUUUACUUUGUUUUACACUGUCCCUGUAUUUUUAUAUCUUUUGCCAUUUAUUUUUAUUUUAUAUUUUAUAUGUUUCUUCUACUUAACAAUUUUGGUCACUGCUAUCUCCUGCUCAGUCCUGCUAGCUUAUAUGUUCCUUUAUGCUUUUUUAUGAUGUGUUUCAUCUCCUUUAAGCACUUUGGUUAACAAGUACUUUUAAAGUGCUACAAAAAUAAACUUUGAUUGGUCGAUUGAUUGAUGUAUACACCUGCAAAGCAAAGCUUUGACCGUGUCUGUGCGUCCUGGCUGCACAUCACUAACAUCCUACAUUUUUCGUGUCCACUUGAAUUUUAGGGAAUAUCACAUGGUUUUCUGAGUGCACUGGACUUAACCAGUGCCUCAAUUUUUUUAUUAAAAAAUUACUUAAUUGUAAGAUUUUUUUGUUUUAGAAGUCCUAUAUUUAUGUUUUGAAUUUCAACCCUUUAAUUUGGCAAAUAAGGACAAGUGAGCUCAAUCGAAAAUAAAAUAAAUAUUGAUUCCAGAAAGAUGACAGAAUUGAAUGAUGGAGGGGAGAUUUUACAGGAGUAAUAAUAGAUAGCUAAGUUUUGUCACCAUUCAAUGAGAAUAACUUUUUUAUGAAAGAAGAUUCACACAGAAGGAUGGUACCUUUGGGAAACCAGAAAGUACCAGUGUUCGAGAUCUAUCAGACUUAUUCUAAAACUAUUCUCAACUUUUCUCUUGGGCUUCAGACAGAUAAAGUAAACAAAGCGCUGUGGUGUAGCUAGAUAGAAAUUGGAAAUGUUUUGUUUUUAACCAUCCACACAUUCUGAUCUUUCUCAGAGAAACAUGCAAAUGACAUCUAGGAAGUUUGUUGGGUUUCUUGGCAAUUUCAGGAAUUUUGGCCCAUCACUAAGAUGAAAUGAAGUUACUGGUCCGCUAGUUAUCUUAGCAAGACAGCUUGUUGUAAGUAACUCUGAAGCUAUCUGGGCAUUACAGUCCUCGGAGAAAAGUAAUUGGAUAAUUAAUUUAGCUCUGGACAAGUUAAACUGACCUCUAGGAUUGGAAAGGUGCUCUGAGCUCAUGAUUGAUGUGUGCCACACAGGCUUAAUUAAAGCCCUUCAUCUGUGCAGAUGCAAAGCAUUGUGGGUAACAAGUGCUUAUGAAAGAAAGACACAGUUAACCACAUAUAUCAGGAUGGUGUUUCCACAUUAUAUAAGAACACACUGAAAGCUUUGGGGUAAUGUAUUAGUUAUGAAUGUAUUCAGAAUUAACCAGCACAUAUCUUAUGGAUGUACUAAUAAGAAGCACAUACUACUAUGUAUUAUUAUUAUUUUGGAUAGAUUUCUAACUCUACUCUCAUUUUUAAGAUCACAUAAAAUUUAACAGAAUUGAAAUGUUCCAUUCAAUUCAGUUCAUUUGCAUAGCACCAAUUUCCAACACAAGUAAUCUCAAUGUAAUAGUGCAUUAAAUUCAGCUCAUCUUUCCAAUCGGUUAAAAGUUUUGGGUCUAAGGAAUCCAAGCAGAUUACAUCGACAGUGGUCAAGGCCCCUGGUGUGUGGGUGGACAAUUAUGGAAGCAAUACAGUCUCACCAGAAAAAAAGAAAAAAAAAUAAUAUUGAAUUUGUGACAUUGAAUUUUUUUUUCUUUCUGUAAAAUGCACCAGCAAAAAAAAAAAUCACCUGUAAAAGUACAACAGUAGAAUUUCAACUUCAAACAUUCAACAACUGAAUUUUCACGUGAAAAUAUCAUUGGCGAAAAUUCAAUAGCAGAAUGUCAAUAUAAAAAUUUUCAUUAGCAAAAGUUCAACAGCUGAAUUUCAACGUAAACAUAUCAAUACAUGCAACAGAGGAAUUUCAAAUGCAAAGUUUUUUUUUUAAUUUUUUAUACCAGCUGCAAAGUUUUAACAUCAACAACAAAUGAGAUGAAUUCCUGAUCCAAGCCAAAGUAAUUUUCAAAUGAUCAAGUCAAGUGACAUUUAGCCAAUCAAAUUACAUUUCUCAGAUCAACUGACACCAUUGAGGCACCGUCUCGAUCAAGUGAUGAUUCCUUUGGCUUGCGUCACCAGGAGGUCACCUCAUUUGUUGUUGAAUUUCUGCGGUUGAACUUUUAUGAAUAAAAUGUUGAUGGUGUAUUUAAAAAAACUCAAAUACAUAAUUUCACAGAUUAAAAAUUGUAUGUCAUAAAUUUAAUGUCUAAAAGAGGUCAUGUUCUGGUGAGACUGUAUUUCUUUCAUAGCCAGUAAACUGGACUGGACACACAGCACCUGUACAAAAAGGGCCAAUAAUGAGAUACAGGAAUUACGAUAAACAACUGAACACAACAGGACAAAUGCCCCCGAAGUCCUUCGUCAGCGCCCCCUAUGGACAAGCUGCCAUGGGUUCCAAGGCGACAGCAGCAAGCCCAAACAGCACUCUCUUCCCCACAGUACAGAGUAUGAUACUUUUAACACUGAGCUUAGCAGCACCCCCCACCCCCCACCCCCCCACCCCACACACACACACCAAUAUGGGUAUAAAAAUUAACCACAAGUCACAGAUUGUUUUGCUCCAGUCUGCAUGACAAAUGAUGCUAAAUAUGAGCAAGUGAUAAAAGAAGGUGUGGUCUUUAAAGCAGAGUUUGGGACUCCGAUCACCAGUUUGGUGCAGUUGCAUUCACCGUGUUGUGUCUGUAUCAAAGCUUAUGGCAUCAGACUACUGAAGAGUGGAAGUGUUGUAGGCAGCAGAUGAUACACAUAACCAAUACGUUUUAUGCAUGAGCACCAUAACAUAUUCUGUUGGUAGCACACAUUGGCACAUCAUUAUUCAUGCACUGAGAGAUCCAACACUCUUAACUCUGUAAACUUGUUUCACCGGCUGUUAUAUCGUGCAGUGAAUGAAUGCAAAGAUCAUAAAGAUUUUCUUUAAAUGUUAUGUUUUUGCCAUAGCAGGGUAUUCUGUGCCUUCCUGCUGGUGCGAUGUUGCCUUGUUAGGGUUUCAUCCUAAAUCUAAUCUCAUCAUGCAGAAUAAAUUGGACUACACAGGAAGCAGCAAAGCACCAUAGUGCUCAGUGGCAUGGCCUUGGAAAGAGGUGUCAUUAAAGUGAUUAUUCUUGAUUAGUCUGUCAAUGCUUCCUGGAGUGCAACAUUCUAAUCAUCACAAACUUCAACCGGCCCUGAUUGACAUCUAACCUUCAUAGGCUUCAAUGAAAUUGUGUUGUUCCAGGAUUUCUCAGAUCUGAAAUGCAGACAAACUCGGAGCACAGAUUGUACUGGUGAAUAACAAAAGUAAAUGUUUAUUUAACACUUGAAUCUCAGGUGGAAGAAUGGUCCAGGGGCUUCAGUGAGGGAAUAAGUAAACAGGCGAACAGAAGUUUAACUGGCAAGAUGUGCUACUGAGAGGUUUUUCUAGCUUGGUUGGAGAUUUUGAGUUCAGGAGGAAGCGCUGAGACGGUGGUUGAAACAAAAUGGUUCAGGGAGGGGCUUUGGAAUCUGUGCUGUACUAAUGGAUGUAUGUAGGGUUAGGAAACCGACCAGAGGAAAGGGCUCUGGAGCAUACUGUUAGGGUCUUGUGUUGUUACGACCACCAGCCUUUGGAGCUGUAACACGGCCCGGUCCAGCUCUGUUUACUGACAGAAGCAUCAGUUUAGGACCCAGAACAGCUCCAUUCCAUGGGGUGCGGAGACCCAAGCACUCCAGUCAGCUCUAUGUCCUGCAGCGGAGACCCACAGCUGCAGUGCUUUUUCACUGAUUAGGAUGCUACCAUAAAGAGGAGAGAAGACAGGAAGAAGACAGAAAGAGAUGGAGGCCAACAAUUUGGGACAUUCUGUGGAAACAUGCAGAGGUUUGGAAUUUUGGGAGAUUCUGCAGAGCCAGAGACACUGUGAAGGACAUUCAGAGAAGGAGAUGUCCUGGAUUCCUGAGUACAAACUGACAUCAGGCUCCUGCGGAACGCUCCACUGAUGUAGCUGGCAAGUUGGACUUUAUAAAUAUAUUUAUUUAGUCUGGCAACGCUCCACUGACGGUUCUCGAUUGUGAGGCGGGUUCUACUGUUGUCUUUCAAACAAUCUCCACAUGCUACUGGACAAUGAACAAUGUGACAUACUCACUGCAACAGAUGUCUGUAAAUGAGGCAGUCCGCUGUUGAAGAAGGCGAAAAUACAUCUUUUUUCUAAAUAAUGGACAUAAAUACAUCUAUCUGCUCCUUAUUCUAAUAAAGCCCAAGUCCAAAUAGUCCAAAAUUGAUGUAAAAGCUUGAGUUGUCGCCAUAAUAUUAGUGGUCAGAUCUGAGAGUUAGCACCAGAGUGGCCUUAAUAUUCCAUAGUUUUUAUAAUCCAAGAAACUGUAAAUUGUCUUCUUCUCAAUCUCUUAUUGGAAUUCUGUUAGUUUUUUAGAUUCAAAUUUUUUUUUAUAGUUCAUGAUUGUCAUGUGCCAGGGUGAGUACUCCUCUCAUUUUUCCAUCUUUGAGUUGUGUGUUUCAGGAGAGGGAGGCUCCAGCUGCAGUAGAUUUGCAAUCAGCGGGCCUGGCUACAAAAGGAGGAUGGAGAACAUCCUCAACGCCGGAUGAUUACUACAGCUUGGUAGUUUCCUGCCCUCUUGCUACUCUUGGAUUUUGUGCUGUAAUGUUUCUAGAAUUUUUUGUGAACCUUUAGAUCUUUUCUCUGUGCUUACCCGUUACCAGGUUUUGGAACAUUUUUGGACUUCUGUGACUUCUCUGGAUUAUGUCUCUGUUUUUCUGCGACUCCUCAGGAUUACUCACCUGUGCCCCAUAGGAUUUCCGGACGCAGCUCUCACCAUUCUCCAUUCCUCCCGGCCGGCCUGCUCUCCUCUCGCUCCCUCUCCUGGACACCCCACUUGGAUUCACCCCGGUACCCAUCAUACCCUCCCUCAUUCCUACGCUCCCCUACUCCCAGUAAGUCUAUUCUCUGCACCCACCAAGUUUAGACUUGCCUUCCUGGACUCACCUGUAUCUGCUCUCCCCUCCACAGACACUGCGCUCCCGUUCUCGAUCUCCACUGGGCUUUUCCAGUGCACCUUCAGUUCCCGUUUUAAAAUGAAGAUUCUUUUUUUACCAUAAGAUCUGUCAUUGUCCAUCCUCUUCUGCUUAUCCGAGGUUGGGUCAUGGGGGCAGCAUCCUGAGAGCAGAGGCCAAGAAUUCCCUCUCCCCAGCCACUUGGGCCAACUCCUCUGGGGCAAUCCCAAGGCCAGCUGAGUGGCAUAGCCCCUCCAUCGUGUCCUGGGUCUCCUCUCGAUUAAACAUGCCUCCCAGUUUAUCCCUGGUUUGUACUAGUUUUACUGCUUUAGCUUUGGUCACCGUCCACUUUUAGUUUAAUCAAUGUGUCCACAUACAGUACUUUGUAAUUCCGGGCUAGCCUUCUUACCGACUCAAAGUGCCACCACUAGUCACCGGCCACUUUUUGUUUUCUACUCAAUGUCUUAUUAAGGUUCUGUUAGUUUUCUAGUCAUCAGUGUUUUUUUAAUGUGAUUUCAUUGUUUAUUCUUGUGUUUGUUUUUGUAAUAUUUGUGAUGUUCUUGCUACUUUAAAUCACAAUGAGUUAGGAAAUGUGCUAUAAAAAUAAAGCUGUCAUUUCUAAUGAUUGCACAUCAUCUAAAACCAUUUUUCCAAAAUGAUUUAAAUAUUCAUCUCAAAUGGUUAAAUAUUGACAUUGAUUCUAGUUAUAUGUGAUAACCAUGUGUAAUGGGCAGUGGAGUAAUGACUGGUUUCAUUUUGGGGUGACUGCUGACUGAAAUGAGGGAUUAGAUCAAACAGAUCCUGAAAAUUACCAACUCUACAGAAUAUAAUGGAAAAUCUCCAUGGUAACUUAUACCGUACCAUAUCCUACUGCCCUCUGUCUCGUUUUAGUGCACCCCGAACACAGAUAAGUUGAAUCACAAUAACCAAGAUAUUCAGGCUUAAUCAGGUAUCCUUUUUUGUGGAACAUGCCCCACUCAUAAGUCACUAGUUUGGGACAGUACACAAUAAACUCUGUCAAGACAUCCCAACACAAUACUUUAUUUUGUAUGUAAAAUGUUUUCUUUAGAUUUUUAUGUUGUUUUCUAACAGUUUUUAACUUUGGUUCAUGCUAUGUUUCAAAAGACCGUUUUUCAUAAUACCGGAAAAUUCACAAUAGUCAUUUGUUCAUUCAUUUGUUGCUGCCCACAUCAGUAGUGUGUAUGAACCUAAAGGGUUUUUAGGAAGUGGAAUGCAGCAAACAGCUCAAAAGGAAAGAGCCCAUUGCAGCAACAUUUUCACUUUUACUGUUGAAACUUGAGUUUCUACAUUCUUAUGCUCACUUGACAACCUCUGAUUUGUCACAACAUUUUAAAAAUAGCCAGCCCUGCAGCUUCAGUAACCUGUCUUUUAAAACUCUGCUUUAAUACCUUCAACACAUGCACCAAUCUUCUUUUGCAACAUUUCUAAGUCCUAAACCCCAACUCCACAAAAAUACAGCUAUUUUCUCACAAUCGUCCCUUUGAGGAAGGUGGUCCAGUGUGAAACAGUUGGCAAACAUGGAAAAUUAGUUAUGACUUGGAGCUCCCUUCUAGUCUACAGAGAUGUUCUGUGUAGAAGAGCAGAAAUAAAAGAGAAAAGCAAAAACUUGUAGCCCAAGGCAAACAAAACCAGACCAACAAGUUAGGGAUUGUGAGUGAUAAUGUGCAUAUUAUUUCAACCCCUGCACAGCAGACAAUGCAUCUCAAUUACAAGUUCAAGCAUUAAUUAAGAAGGUGGAAUAAUUAUUGCACCUGACAGUGAUAAUUGACCUAGGGAGUCCAGGUAGUGAUUGGGGCCCCUGUCUGGAUACUUCCUUACUAAGGAGGUUACCUCUUGUCUUGUUCAUUAAACAGGGCACACUUCAGAUAUUUGUGAUAACAGGCUCCAAAAUAUGAACUCGAGGAGCUCUGGCAUUUUCCAUUUAAGCUUGUCAACCUAAAAUAGCCUUUAACACCUAAAAGCGACAUUUUUUUUCUAUUUGGAUUUACUGAUUUUAGGUUUUUCAGCAGGAUAAAAUACUCAAAAUCUCCAGGCUUAAAUUAGCAUUCCUAUUGCUACUCUGAAGGAAGCUACAAAUGAGUCUUUUCCUAAAAGAAUCUCAGAUCUGCAAGGGAAAAAGGAAUGCUGCACAACUAGCAUGCCACCACUGGAGCCAUGCAUCCUGCUAAACACACACACUCAUAAAUUUGUGUUUCUCUUCACUUCUUCAUGAUUACACAUCACCUUGGGUCCAGUAAAGUGAAUCCUGCUCUUCCCUCUUUCGUUCUUUCUUUCAUCAUUUCCCACCCACUGUGAAUGUCUUAAUGCAUUAUCACUUCAUUAAAGCUGCAUCAGGGUGAUAAAUGAACUACUGCUUUCCCUAACCAGCUAAUGGCCCUUUCUGAUCACGCUCAGUGGAAGAGAAAGUUUCUCAUGUUGGUGGAGAGGGCUGUCAGUGUCUCUCAGGAAUCCUAGACAGCUGCCGUUAUAGAGCUCUAUAAUGUGUGUGAUUUUUUUAGACGUGGUUGGAUCCUUCUACUUUCUCUGACUAGAUCCGGCCUGCUUUGAUUUCCUCAGAUCUUACAAUAAACUGGCAAUGAUCAACAGGA